UACGUAGGGUGCGAGCGUUGUCCGGAAUUAUUGGGCGUAAAGGGCUCGUAGGCGGUUUGUCGCGUCGGGAGUGAAAACACACAGCUUAACUGUGUGCUUGCUUCCGAUACGGGCAGACUAGAGGUAUGCAGGGGAGAACGGAAUUCCUGGUGUAGCGGUGAAAUGCGCAGAUAUCAGGAAGAACACCCGUGGCGAAGGCGGCUCUCUGGGACGGUACUGACGCUGAGACGCGAAA
rnacentral:rRNA from 1 species